rnacentral:rRNA from 1 species
GACGAACGCUGGCGGCGUGCUUAACACAUGCAAGUCGAACGGAAAGGCCCUGCUUUUGUGGGGCGCUCGAGUGGCGAACGGGUGAGUAACACGUGAGUAACCUGCCCUUGACUUUGGGAUAACUUCAGGAAACUGGGGCUAAUACCGGAUAGGAGCUCCUGCUGCAUGGUGGGGGUUGGAAAGUUUCGGCGGUUGGGGAUGGACUCGCGGCUUAUCAGCUUGUUGGUGGGGUAGUGGCUUACCAAGGCUUUGACGGGUAGCCGGCCUGAGAGGGUGACCGGCCACAUUGGGACUGAGGUACGGCCCAGACUCCUACGGGAGGCAGCAGUGGGGAAUAUUGCACAAUGGGCGGAAGCCUGAUGCAGCAACGCCGCGUGCGGGAUGACGGCCUUCGGGUUGUAAACCGCUUUCGCCUGUGACGAAGCGUGAGUGACGGUAAUGGGUAAAGAAGCACCGGCUAACUACGUG